AAGUAGCAGGGUAGCUAGGAACAGUUUGUUCUCUUCUGCCAAUAAGAGGACGAGGGUGUGUCAUAUGCAAAUGUACCGCCCUCCAAGCCCACCCCCAAGACCAACCACGCCCCCUUCUCUAGGUCCCUGCAGAAAUGGUGCCGAUUUCAGUGUCUGCUGUGUUACAGUGGUGUCUUUGCUGAGUUUGAAACUGGAUACUCCAAGCAAGUAGAUGACUUUUCUUCAGAUAUGCCAGGAAAAAAACCUGAAAUUGCUUCAGCAAAAAUAACCUUUCUUCCAUCUUCAUGAAGUUAACGUGGAAAACUGAUAUUUAGUCAUGAAGGAGCUUGAUUAAACUGUUUCACUUUAUCAUUUUACAUCUUGAUACAAUAAUAUGUAUACAGGUUAUUUUCUUGCAAUACUUCUCACCUUCUUUGCAAUUGUUUUUUUCCUUGGCUGCCUUCUCCAUGAGAUUAUAUGCCUCAUGAGGACAGUUUUUCUCAUCAUUAUAUCCCCGAUACAAUAAUGUUUUAGAAGAAAAAUGAAUAAAGAAAGUCCAUGCAAAAAAGUCAUCUGGUCUAUGUCACAGGAAUAGUGAGUUCUUAUCAGGUUAAUCAAAUAUGAGUUGCAUUACUCAAGAGUUUUAAUAACCAGUGGUUGUAAACUGACUUUUUUAUCAUGUAUUAUGUGUAAAUGUAAUGUUGAAUGUAGUUGUAAGUUUCAGGAUAGGAAUAGUGUUCAGGCUGCAGUAGGUAACUGCUACUUUUGUCAUUCUUUUGGUAACUCUUAGCCAGCUUGGGUCUGCAAAAUUGCCCCCUCCCUUGCACUCAGCCCUGUCCUUGUUCUAGGAGUCUCCUCCCGGAGAUGCAGUGGGUCUAGCAUUAGCAUGUGAUACUCUGUUCCUCCAGGGAACAGCCCCCGCUGCGGUCAUGAGGCUUCGUUCAUCCAUACACUCAGCUGGUCUUGUCAGAGGAGCCCCUGAGUGGGAAGCUGUCCUUUGCUUUGGGGCGGAAUGUGCUGAAACUGUGGGGCUCCUACACUGAAGCCACACAGGGAAAGGUGGGAGUGGGGAGAAAGAGAAAGAGACAGAGGGUCCUAAUGACACCAUUAGAGGCUUUAAAUCACCCACAACUUUAUUUUUUCCGUCAUUUGUCACAAAAGUAACACUAGUACAAAGACUAUGUUAUGUUACUUAGUUUUUAUAUUUUUAAAAUAAAGAGCUCAUUUAGAUGGCUCUUAGCAGAAGUGAAGUUUGGUAGGUCUUGGUCUUCUCAGGAAAUGUGUUGUAUUAUUGGACUAAAAUCUGCUGACUUAGAUACAAUGUUCCAGCUUCUGAAGCUACAGAAAACUCAAAUUCGUGUAAUCUCUCUUCCAUCUGACAACUCCACGUGAAGAGAGAACUUAGGUCUCAUUUUACUCAUUCUUUCAUUCAAUAAAUAUUUACCGAGUGCCUACUAUGUGCAGACACAUUUUCUUCUCCAGGCUGUAUGUUUAGAGCAUUCUUUAAACCAUUUCUCAUGUCACAGAUAUUCUGGACCAAUACUGCUGCUCUUUCCUUAGAAGGACUCCCCUGUGUCAAAUCAUCCUUUUUAAAAAAUAUGGAACAGAGCAUGAUAGCAUUAAUUCAUUUGUGUUACACAUUUCUUAUGUCCUAACCAAGUGCGAGGCAAGAAGACAGCAAGAAUGAAUGAGAUACAGUUUUGUGACUGAAGGACUCACUGCCCAGAAGGAGGAGGCAGCCAUGUAAAUAGGUACCUGAGUUUCUACAACUUUGGCAAAAAUACUCGGCAACAUUUACUGGGAUUUUUGAACAUCCCACAUCCAGUCCUGUGUUAAGGAUUUCAUAGAUAUUAUCCUAUUUAAUCCUCAUCUAUAAGAUGCAGGCAGUGAAAAUGUGAAGAUCUGAGUGGUGUGAAAUGAAGUCACUUUCAGAGAAAACGUUUUGCUGAAAUUGAGAGUGAACUAUAUAUGCCUAAGUCAUACACCGAAAGCAGGAGACCUGUCCAGGGGACACACAGCCCCACAAUGUCCCCUCACCACCAAAAAAGGUAAUCGGAAAAUGAGAGAAGAAUGCAAAGUACAUGGAAUCAGCUAUGUACAUACUGAAAUAUAAGUCACAACACUAUGUGAUGUGGGGCUAUAGUCAUAAAGAUCAAGAUAGAAAAGAAAAACAUUCACCUCUAUGUCUGAGUAAUCUUUCUCCCCCACUCUUUCAUUCCUUUCCUCCAACAUUUUAGUGUCUCAAGCCUUUUUUGAAGGAUUCGUUGUCUCACUUAAAAAUAAAGAUGGGUAAGGGAGUAUGGUUUUCACCUGAGCAAACCAGAUGUGACAGGCUCCGUGAAGUAUAUCCAUGUUUUCCUGCUCUAUUUAUGUAAAAAUAACUUAGGGAAGCUGAAAUAUUUUGUGUGUGUUUUAAAAGUUAAAGAGAAGAAGCUUUCGGAGCAAUGAAUGAGAUGAAAGACAAAGCUGUGCCAGGAAAGAUGAAAGCCAAGCAAGGGUGGUUAAUCAUCCUAGCCAGAGAUAAACAAGAGAAAUCCAGUGCCCCCCGAUAGCUGAGGAGCCCCGCUAUCCACCAUGGAAAUGUCUCUGACAUCUAAGUUCUGAGCUGGUUACUAAGCCUGCUAUUUCUGCUCUGUCAAAGUCAUUCCAUUAAAACUUAAAAUAAGCCUGCAACUGGAUAAUCUUAUCCCUCACAGAAGCCUUAUGUAAUAAAUGCAAAUGUGCAUCUGAAUUAUUAGGCUUCUAUUUUUUUCCCUCAAAGCUGCACUUAAUCAGUAAAAGCUUGUGAAAGCCUGAAGGUUUCUAAAAUAAAUGUGUAUCUAAGCGCAUCUCCAAUGUUGUCUUGAGAGCUACCAAGAGGUUUGGAAGAAAAGGCCUUGUGUGAAGAACAAGAAUUGCUGGGUUCUAGCACUGGUUGAACUACUUAAUUUGGACUGGUUCCUGCAAAUCGCUUAGGCUCCAAAGGUUGAAAGAUCCUAUGUCUGAGUGAAAGGAGUUCAGAAACUAGGAUUAAAAAACAUGGGUUUGAGUCCCAGCUUUGUCAUGUGCGAGCUACGUAGCUGGCAAAGGAUUUACUAUUUGGGGCUUUGCUUCUUAUCUAUAGAGUGGGGAAAGUAAUAGUAGCUAAUUCAUAGGACUGCUGUGAAGAACAUAUGAGGCAUUGUAUAUAAAAGAGUUAUUUGCACACUGUAAAGGGCAACAGACAGGUUGGCCUUUGCCAACACUUCUCCAGUUUACCUAAGGCUUACAGAAUGCUGGGAAAAUAAAUGAGAGGUAAAAAGGCAUUUUUAAUAGAAAGUCCUAAAUAUGACUUCACAAUUCCUUGUAGCAAGUGAAGACAUAGUUUAAUUCUGACGGUAAAGGCAAAUGAACUAAUCAGAAAGCCAGCCCCAUCUAGGAGACGUGUAAGAAGACAUCUUCCAUCUACAGUCAAAGGCAAACGAUAAGGUUUUUUUCUUAUUCUCUUGCAUUCUAGAGGCUGUUGGGGGUUGGGUGGCUUGGAACAGAAACUGCCACACAAAAGCAUUUGCUAGGUUACGGCAUGGGGGUUGGGAGGGCGCUAUAAUGUAACAGACAUAAGAUGACUGAAGUGUUCACACAAAAAAGUUAUCUUCCAAUUCCAUUUGAGCUACAAUCUGAUUUCGGGGUUGAGUACAACAUCCCCUUCACAAGAAUCUGAAGUCUGUAAGAGGGCUGUGCUGCAUAAGUCUUCCACCCAGCAACAGGAUGAUGUCAGCGGCCAGGGAGAACGACCAAUCAGCAAGCAGAAUGAAUCAGAGCGUGCUGGGAUUUUGCUCAACUGUCUCAGCAAAGCAAGCUGUGCUCUGAAGUGCAGGGGUUAUUUGCACUUCCUCUGCACUUGAAGCUGAGCCUGAAUGGCUCUUUAGCUGAAAAGAUACCAAGGAGUGUGCAAGCAGUUAAGAUGAUCUGCAUCCAAGCAGCCAGUCUCAUAAGUCAUAAGAGUCAUAUUUGUUUUU